AAAAAAUGAAUAAAAUACAAUAAGUGUUAAACUACUCUUAUCAUGCAAAGGAAGAGCUAUAUUAUCGGUCAUAACCCUGUUAAGUUCAGGUUUUGUCAGGUUACAGUUUAAGUAUAAUCGCACUGUGGUUGACUGAGGUGGGAAAAUGAAGGUUUCAUCCUCAAAUUGGUUUUAAAAAAAAGGCAAACUAGUUAGCAGCAGGUGAAUUACAAGCCUGCUACUUCUUAUCGAAAAUACCAUGGGCUCCACUAUCUUCCUUUAAUCACAUGCGCACUUUCCUCCAAAAACUUUCAUCAUUUUUUUUUUUUACUUUAUUAGGGCGUUCAUGAAAUGUGGUUGACUGAGCGAGGAAAAAUAGUGACCCAAUGUUCACAGCAAAACGACUUGCUUAACACGUAAGCAACAAUGUAAAGUGAUUUUUCUUUGAACUAUACAACCCAUUAUGAUCAAAGGCAGAGGACUACAAGAAGUAACCUGCACAGUUCCUAGUGGUUUUUUAUGUUAAACCAGAGUAGCUGUUACUCCUUUGAUGGUAAUGUAACUCUCAGUAGUUAUCACUGAAAUCAAACUCAUGAGAAAAAGGAAAUGUUUUGAACGAGAAAUAAACACCCUUUUUUUUUUUUUUUUUAGAGACUGCGGGUUUACAUUGCGACCACGAGUAUAUAGGAUGUUCGCUGCUGAUCAGGUAAGCGUUAGCUGGGAGAAAAUCUUAUAACGCAGCACCCAUAUCCCCAUUGUUAUCAGGAUACUUUGUUUCCCUCAUUGUUUCUUGUUUCUCUUACUACCUUAUCGUGUACAAACGUCAAAAGGCUACAUCAAAGAACCAACAAACAUUAGCAAAACCUUAAUUUUUUCUUAACUUCAUUAGGGCUUUCAUGAAAUGUUGUUGACUGAGCGAGGAGAAAUACUGACCCAAUGUUCACAGCAAAACGACUUACGUAUCCCUACCACAAACUACGGGUUUACAUUGCGACCACGUGUGUAUCGGAUGUUCCCUGCUGAUCAGGUAAGCGUAAGCUGGAAAAAAAUAUUUUAACGCAGGAUAGUUUAUUUCCCUGUUUGUUCCUUGUUUCUUUUAUCAUCUCGUCGAGUAUCGACGUCAUAAGGCUGCAUCAAGGAACCAACAAACAUAACGCAAAACUUUCAGCUCUCUGACUUCUGUGGUGAGGGCUGUUUAUCAAUCUACUUACGUACUUAUUUGGUAACUUUACAUGAUUUCUUUUCUGCAGGAAACAGAAAGAGUGGACAUUGGUAUGCAAACAUCAAGAAACAGCCCUACCCAGGGAAAUGAUAAUCGCUAAGGAUGCCUCUUGUUCUCGACACAUUUACCUCCAGUUCGAGAGAAUCCGUAGAUCCGUGGCUUUUCAGGCCUAGACGUUAAGAAACUUUGUUUACAUGGCUCUGGUUCACUGACUCAUAAUCCUUUUUAUUAAAUUAUUCAUUCUUUCAUACAUGUUUACUGUAUAAAUCAUUUCACUGAAUAAAAACAAAGAAAACCUUGUACAAAAAUGCCUCAAGAUUGAGUCUAUAGCAAAAACAAAAGCGAGUUUCUGUCAGUUGACACGCUUCUUUCAUCUACUCAUUCAAGGAUCCAGCCCACAUUCAUAUAAACAGUAUCAUAUUUGCAUUUUAACGCGACAGUCUGCAUCAGUAUUUCUACGUCACGCUCGAACGGAAACAACCAAGACCCCCUUUACAGUUUUUGGGAACGGAAACUGAACAUAAAGUAUCCGUUAACAAAGUAGAAUUAAUUACUGAAGAUUCACCGAGAAGAGUGAACUUAACGUGCUGCUAAAAUCAUCCACUAAUAGGCACAGUAAGCAUUUUAGAAACUCGAAUACCAAUGAAGCUAAUUUUGGGCUAAAUCUGUCUCGAGUCAGACAAAUUAUUUUAACAAACAGCAGUUCAAAAGUUGAUUCCCUUAAUCCCGAAUCACACUCUAUGUUUAUGAAACGUUUUAGACACACACUGAUUGUAAAAAGACAGAGCGUUGAGAAUGCUGACUCUUGCGUAUGCAAGAGAAUGGAAUUAUUUAUGUCUCCACUAUACACUGGAAGAGCAAAGAAAAGCAAAUUUAAGUAUAGGUUUAAUUUAAAUUUUUAAGUGGGUUAGCAAGUUCUGAUUGAGCACGUCAAGGUAAAAGUUAAGACAAGCACAAGCACAAGCACUCAACUCAGUCGAUCUAGUUUGAGAGGGAUAAAAAUAGAUGACAGAUAAAAGUAUACAAAGGAAAUUCUUGCCCGAGGUCAUCUGCAUUAAGACUCAUUUGAGCCGCAAGAAUUUUCAAGUGGCCAACCAGAAGAGGUGUCAAUCAACCCUGAUUGAUUCGCUGAAGUCACGAGAAUUUGACUCGUAAUUUGACUGAAAGCUGUUAGAAGGGAGCUACAUUAUCUUUGCCCGUUAAUGUUUCUAUUCAGGAUGGUUAGAACUCUCGAAUGCUCAACUUGCUUCAGUUCUUCGUUUUUUGAUGUCUACAUCGUCAGUUUACAAAGGACAGAAAACGGUCACGACAAUCAAUAAGCGAUCACGAAAGGCAGAAAAUUACAUUAACUGCAAGAUGUGAAAGACUCAACUCAGCAAGAUGGUGCCUUUCCACACGGAUGUAUAUACUUCGAAGAUCAUGUUUCCUCAAACCAAAUCAAGACAAGCUUUUACCGAUAUGCAAGAGGUCUGAUGAUUAGCGACACCUCAUCCACACUUAUGUCCGAAUAACACUCUUGUGCAUUGAAAUUGAAAGGGUUUAUCGAGUGUUGAAGUGCGGGUAAGAUGAAACCUCACAGCUCUGAAAACCGCUUACAAGACUCACGUGUUGCCUUAAUUUGCAAUUAUCUCAAUUCAGAAGCGUAUUCCCUUUGAAAGCUUAUCGUCACUUUUUCAUCUUUUUUGCAUAAUUUCCUGUCAAGAAAUUCGAAGGAA